rnacentral:miRNA from 14 species
AAUACAGGAAGCCCACAUAAAUUUGAAUUUUAGAUAAACAACGAAUUGUUUUUUAGCAUGAGUGUGCCCCCAUGCAAUAUUUGGGAUAUACUUACGCUAAAAUAUUAUUCACUGUUUACCUGAAACCCGAAUUUAAGGGGGCGUUUUGUAUUUU